GCGAUGCGCCCCGCUCCCGCACUGCUCGGGCGGACGGGACCGUUCCUGUCGGAUUCCGGCGAACCUGUAAUGAAUGACAGGACGAUCGAGCUCCUUGUGUAGCUAACUAGGUCACUCUCAGCACUUAAUUACUGUUUGUUUCAUUUUAGUGCGUGCCUUAUGAAUAAACCGGCUAUUAGGCUGAUGCUUCAAGUAACAUUAUCCAGCACCAAGCAGCUUGCAUUUGGAACUCAGAAAAUGAGAAGCACUUCGUUAGAGACCGCCAGUUCGAUACAAGAAACUUGCUACUCUGUAAAUCCCUGAUAAAGACAGAAAUAGAAGUGGUGUGUACCCAACAGGAUGCAUUUGCGGUAGCCUCCCAACAUUCCCUGUCCCUCCCUCCUCCCGAGGCUGUUGCUGGCUUUUGGCGGGGCACGGGUGCCAGAAGAGGGAGCACGGAACACAGCCUGAAUGUCUGCUCCUGCCUCAGCUGCUUAGACCUCAGCAGACCUUGGUCCUGAAGAGCGACACCAUCAGAUAUCAGGGCUGAGCAACAAACCGCACUUGGUGCCGCUGGAACCAUGCUCGUCUGGAUCUUGGUCCUGGCUCACGGGAAACACUGUCCUUCCUUGGGUUUUUCAGGUGUAGGCCCUGGGAGACCACUGUCUCUACAGUCUCCAGAUUUAUGCAACUGAAUGUGGCUGGCUGGACUCUUCACCUCACCCAGGCUUAUGUCAAACCUCAUUCCUACCUUCAUCUUUGUCACUGGAGACAAGGGGGGCAGCGCGGCCUUGAACUUCUAACACCAGGAGCUGCAGAGGGAGAGACAAAGACUCUGGGCAGAUUUAACUCUUUCCUAGCAACAUGAAGCUUCCAGAGCUUGAACCUUCUCUGAGAAAGAAAAGAAAGGGACAGAAUGAACAUAAAGAAGAAACAGCAUGAAGUCAGUGGAGCGAAAGUGAAAAGACUAUUGGGACAGGGGGUUGAAGGGUUGGUUGUUCCAUUCUUAUUUGAGCCAUGGAAAUGAACUCUAUAUUUAGAUUAUUCCUUUAAAUCAUGUGAAAGAUAUGCAUUUGGGAAGAUGAUUAUUUAGAUUUGUGUGUGGAUUUGAGCAAAGGUGUUUGUGAUGGACUAAGUAAUAUUAAUCCUAUAAGAUGCUUGAACAGAGAUAGAGAUGAGAAGCUCUCUGUGCCAGUGAAGAAGUGAGAAGAUAUCUCUGUACCUUGAGAUGAAGAAUCCUUUGCUUUGGAGUUAUUCAUCUUUAAAAGGUGACACCCCAGUAUGCAAAAGUCUAAGACCCAUAAGCAGCUUGGGAACCUGCUAAUAGGAGGGGUCACAAAGGCAGGUUUCUCCGGGCGGUUGUUUUUGUGACAGUUAAAAAAAACCACAAGAGAACUGUUCUAAGUUGUCAGUGGGAUCCAUGACUCUAAGAGAGACUCUUCCCCUAAAGAAUUGAUGAAAGACUAUUGUCAAAUGGUGAAACUGACUGAAAAUUACAAGUUUUGUCUCUUUAUGUUGUUUUGUAGGAAAGUUAACAGUUUGUAAGGGGAGGGAAGAGUGUUUUUGGAGUUUCAUUCUGUUUUGUUUUAGGUUUU